GGUUGUGUAGUGUAGCGGUCAUCACUCCGGAUUCUGAUAAUCAGACACUUCCGGCAACCCCGGUUCGAAUCCGGGCACGACCU